CAAAAGUGUUGUCUUCAGUUAUCCUACUGAAACUAACGAGUGUCAGGGAAAUGCAGUUUUUUUGCGGUCAGAAAAAGGUUUGACCUCACAAGGAGGAAAUGGAGGAGUUGUGGGACGAGUUGGAUUGAGAACGAACCUGCAACUUGGAUGACGUGUAAUGAUGCAUUUAUACAAACGAUGAUUUCGUUAGGGCUAAAUUGGCCAUAGUUCUCUGUGGAACUGAGAUUUUUCUUUAGCCUGCGUUUAGUUUAGAAUGUGCUUUUAUUUUUUUACGGUAUGGGAAUCAUUGUUAUCCACGUAGUGCUUCCGCCACAACAAAGCCCUGUUUCUGGUCAGUUUCUGUCUGGAGAUGACAUUAUUUAUGAGAAAACUGCAAACUGAGAGAGGCCAAUUGUAGCCUAUCAAUAGCCCACUCACGUUGAACAACAGAAACUAUAAACGACUGUUUUUUGCGGUCCCUCCGCCUUCCCCCCGUUAUUUCUUCUUUAAAAAAAAACUCUGCUUGUGCCUAUAUGACUGCAUCCAUUUUAUGUCGUCUUGGGAGCUAAACCAGCGCCUCUUGAGUGACGUGAGGACAGGGCUGGCGUGGAGCGGCCAGCUUCCUGUGGCUGGGGACAAGCUUUCUCCGGAUGGCUCGUAGCAACCUGCAACACAAGCCCGGCGAGCAGCAAUGCACUGAUGAUUAAUGUUGGGCAGGUUGGUAUUUCCAGAAGCAAUUCGGGUUCAGGUGGACUGCAUGGUGUCCUCGAAACGUAUCCAGACGCAGCGAACGGCGCCGAGCGUCAUCCUGGACUCCUGCUGCACAGCAGCCCCAGUGAGAAGCUUCCAGAAACAGAGGUGCACAGCCACCAAGCCGUCCCCUUCCCCAGGGCUGUGUUCAAGUGGCGUUUCAUAACCUGGAACGGCGUUGCGCUGAACAUUCAACUCUGUUACUUAUUCUGCUAAUAGAGCCGCUCUGUGCGGGUAUAUCAGCAGUAUAAGAAUCAUGGAUGUGUCAAAUACUGUAUGUAAAUAUGUGACUUUACUGUAUGUAAAUAUGUAAAUAUGUGACUUGUGGGUACGCCUCUGGCACACCCACAGAACGGAGGCAAACAUAUCUUAGGGACUGUUACGAAGUGUUCCCAACCGGGUGCAAAUCAGUUAUGUUUUGCCCCCUGUUCCGUUUUGAACACAGCCCAAAGACAGCGACUCGUCCUUCUCCCUGGGCAAUGUAGUGUCUGGGACGAGUGGGAAUGAACCUACUCACACGAAGAACUGCUCAUGAACGGGAAGUCUUUUUUUAGGCCGGGGACGCUCAAUGCCUCUGCUCUAGUUGAUUCACUGCUCCAGAAUUUGGCUUAGGCAACUGCUAAGAUUGGCUGGUGACCUAACUUUACGUUGAAAACUUGGCAACACUUGUAAAAAAAAAAAAAAAAAUGUAAAAAAACUGGUAACAUAUGCAAUCACAAAUGAAGCACCAUGACAGGCUAUUCAUGGUCUAUUUUCCCCUGUGCUUGUUUGAAUUUUAAGGACAGUUGGAGUCAGCAGAAGAACAUAUUCUUAGCUGACAAAGUGAGAGAUAGGGUGUAUUUACAUUACGGGGUGCAGGCACACCCAGAGGCGUCUGGGAGGUACGCGAGGCCUUGUCCUGAUGCACUACAUACAGCAGCUACUGGACGGGCCCAGAGUCGGGUGUUGUGUCUGGAGUAUCCUACUGGACGGGCCCCAGAGUGGGGUGUUGUAUCUGGAGUAUCCGACUGGACGGGCCCCAGAGUGGGGUGUUGUAUCUGGAGCAGCUACUGGACAGGCCCCAGAGAUGGGUGUUGUAUCUGGAGUAUCCUACUGGACGGGCCCCAGAGUGGGGUGUUGUAUCUGGAGUAUCUGACUGGACGGGCCCCAGAGUGGGGUGUUGUAU